rnacentral:lncRNA from 1 species
GCUUUUGUUGUGUUCUCGUUAUGUUAUUGUCCUUGUGCCUUUUGUUGUGUGCUCGUUAUGUUAUUGUCCUUGUGCCUCAGCAUCUUUGCUUGCUUUAGUAAUAUUUUGAAUUGCUCGGUGUAUUCAAGCUUGUAUCAACUGCUAUGUAUCACGUAAAAUUUUUGUCUAAUCUACCCUUAUCCAGCUGUUUUGAUUUGCGGAUCAUGGUGCAAAACGAACGUUCCCUUCCAUGGAUGGCAUAAUUUUUCCGUUAACCCCACGAAGGGGGGACAUUGGCAACUACCUUCGGAUUGUGAUUUGAACCGCAGGACGUGAAUUGGACUGUAUAACCAUUUCACAAUCGCUAAGGAAAAAAAAACUGGCUCAGGCGAUAUAGAUUUUUAAGAGGGACUUGAUUCGCGAUCGAAAUUGAAAUCGGAAUUAAAGUCGAAAUGGUUUGGAAUCGAAAUCAGAAUGAUUAAAUUUUUCGAAGUGCUUAGUUCGUGAUCGAAAUUG